GAGGCUAGAGCUCAGUGGUAGAGCACAUGCUUAGCAUGCAUGAGGUCCUGGGUUCAGUCCCCAGUACCUCCA
rfam:Camelus ferus unplaced genomic scaffold scaffold637, whole genome shotgun sequence.